rnacentral:rRNA from 1 species
GUAAGGAAUAUUGGACAAUGGACGCAAGUCUGAUCCAGCCAUGCCGCGUGAAGGAUUAAGGUCCUCUGGAUUGUAAACUUCUUUUAUAAGGGACGAAAAAAGGCUUUUCUAAGUCGUCUGACGGUACCUUAUGAAUAAGCACCGGCUAACUCCGUGCCAGCAGCCGCGGUAAUACGGAGGGUGCAAGCGUUAUCCGGAUUCACUGGGUUUAAAGGGUGCGUAGGCGGGCAGGUAAGUCAGUGGUGAAAUCCUAGAGCUUAACUCUAGAACUGCCAGUGAUACUAUCUGUCUUGAAUAUUGUGGAGGUAAGCGGAAUAUGUCAUGUAGCGGUGAAAUGCUUAGAUAUGACAUAGAACACCUAUUGCGAAGGCAGCUUACUACGCAUAUAUUGACGCUGAGGCACGAAAGCGUGGGGAUCAAACAGGAUUAGAUACCCCUGUAGUCC